UGAACGCUGACGGCGUGCCUAAUACAUGCAAGUCGAGCGAACGGACGCGAAGCUUGCUUCUCUGAUGUUAGCGGCGGACGGGUGAGUAACACGUGGAUAACCUACCUAUAAGACUGGGAUAACUUCGGGAAACCGGAGCUAAUACCGGAUAAUAUUUUGAACCGCAUGGUUCAAAAGUGAAAGACGGUCUUGCUGUCACUUAUAGAUGGAUCCGCGCUGCAUUAGCUAGUUGGUAAGGUAACGGCUUACCAAGGCAACGAUGCAUAGCCGACCUGAGAGGGUGAUCGGCCACACUGGAACUGAGACACGGUCCAGACUCCUACGGGAGGCAGCAGUAGGGAAUCUUCCGCAAUGGGCGAAAGCCUGACGGAGCAACGCCGCGUGAGUGAUGAAGGUCUUCGGAUCGUAAAACUCUGUUAUUAGGGAAGAACAUAUGUGUAAGUAACUGUGCACAUCUUGACGGUACCUAAUCAGAAAGCCACGGCUAACUACGUG
rnacentral:rRNA from 1 species